GAUGAACGCUGGCGGCGUGCCUAAUACAUGCAAGUCGAGCGAACAGACGAGGAGCUUGCUCCUCUGACGUUAGCGGCGGACGGGUGAGUAACACGUGGAUAACCUACCUAUAAGACUGGGAUAACUUCGGGAAACCGGAGCUAAUACCGGAUAAUAUAUUGAACCGCAUGGUUCAAUAGUGAAAGACGGUUUUGCUGUCACUUAUAGAUGGAUCCGCGCCGCAUUAGCUAGUUGGUAAGGUAACGGCUUACCAAGGCAACGAUGCGUAGCCGACCUGAGAGGGUGAUCGGCCACACUGGAACUGAGACACGGUCCAGACUCCUACGGGAGGCAGCAGUAGGGAAUCUUCCGCAAUGGGCGAAAGCCUGACGGAGCAACGCCGCGUGAGUGAUGAAGGUCGUCGGAUCGUAAAACUCGGUUAUUAGGGAAGAACAAAUGUGUAAGUAACUAUGCACGUCUUGACGGUACCUAAGCAGAAAGCCACGGCUAACUACGUGC
rnacentral:rRNA from 1 species